rnacentral:lncRNA from 1 species
GUCCCGCAUAGCUCAGCAGCCAAGAUGUGUGACUUCACCGAGGACCAGACCGCAGGUAGGCAGUCUCUGACCCACAACUGAGGUCACCCUUACCGAGAGGGACCCCUUCCUCUAGAUCCCAACCUGUCAUCUCCAGCACUCCCAGGAGGGUGCCCCGUGGAUUUCCUUCUCCUCGGCUCUAGAUCCUCCAUUUUCUUUCUCAUUCUUUCUUCCUUCCCCUUCCACUCUAGAUCUGAGCCCCAACCACUGGGUGAGUUUUGGGUGGUGUGGGUAUGUGAAACAAUGAUUACUGCCUGUUGUGUGUUGGGUCUCUUAUGCUUGUGUUCCGCUGCUUUUGCCUCUCCUGUGAUAACUGCCCCCUCCUUAAGCUUGGAUUGCCAAUACGGUAAAGAGCAGUGCCUUGAUAUUCUGUUGAGAUGGGGACUGGAGAGUUUGCUAAGCCCGUGGCUUAGCUUCACCCCCUGGAAGGUCUCUGGAAGGGAAGGGUGGGAAUGGGAAGCUAGAGUCCAGACCACUGCUCUACUUCCUUAUAUGGGCAGGACCUAGCCUGGGCGGUGGCAAAUUCCUGCCGAGCAGUGUAGUGGUGGUGGAGGGCCUAGCCUGCUGUAGCUCAGGGGGUGUGUAAGCGAUGGCUACCACCUUGAGGUAAGGAAGAAGGCUGCGUGUCUUUAUGCGGGGCAUUUGAGUUGAUAGAAAUUAGAUCCUUAGGCGCAGUCUUCGGUGUACAGGAGGACAAGAUAUCUGGUCUCUGCAGCAUGCUAGAGUUGAGUUGGCAGCAGCACUGGGUUAAUCCCUGGUGCUGCUGUUCAUCUGAAUCCUCAG